AGCGAACGCUGGCGGCAGGCUUAACACAUGCAAGUCGAACGGGCACUUCGGUGUCAGUGGCAGACGGGUGAGUAACACGUGGGAACGUACCUUUUGGUUCGGAACAACUGAGGGAAACUUCAGCUAAUACCGGAUAAGCCCUUACGGGGAAAGAUUUAUCGCCGAGAGAUCGGCCCGCGUCUGAUUAGCUAGUUGGUAGGGUAAUGGCCUACCAAGGCGACGAUCAGUAGCUGGUCUGAGAGGAUGAUCAGCCACAUUGGGACUGAGACACGGCCCAAACUCCUACGGGAGGCAGCAGUGGGGAAUAUUGGACAAUGGGGGCAACCCUUAUCCAGCCAUGCCGCGUGAGUGAUGAAGGCCCUAGGGUUGUAAAGCUCUUUUGUACGGGAAGAUAAUGACGGUACCGUAAGAAUAAGCCCCGGCUGACUUCGUGCCAGCCGCCGCGGUAAAAC
rnacentral:rRNA from 1 species